rnacentral:rRNA from 1 species
ACGCGUGGCAACAGUACCCUUUACUACGGAAUAACGCAGGGAAACUUGUGCUAAUACCGUAUGUGCCCUUUGGGGGAAAGAUUUAUCGGUAAAGGAUCGGCCCGCGUUGGAUUAGCUAGUUGGUGGGGUAAAGGCCUACCAAGGCGACGAUCCAUAGCUGGUCUGAGAGGAUGAUCAGCCACAUUGGGACUGAGACACGGCCCAAACUCCUACGGGAGGCAGCAGUGGGGAAUAUUGGACAAUGGGCGCAAGCCUGAUCCAGCCAUGCCGCGUGAGUGAUGAAGGCCCUAGGGUUGUAAAGCUCUUUCACCGGAGAAGAUAAUGACGGUAUCCGGAGAAGAAGCCCCGGCUAACUUCGUGCCAGCAGCCGCGGUAAUACGAAGGGGGCUAGCGUUGUUCGGAAUUACUGGGCGUAAAGCGCACGUAGGCGGAUCGAUCAGUCAGGGGUGAAAUCCCAGGGCUCAACCCUGGAACUGCCUUUGAUACUGUCGAUCUGGAGUAUGGAAGAGGUGAGUGGAAUUCCGAGUGUANAGGUGAAAUUCGUAGAUAUUCG